AGCUAAGGGCUUUGGUGUGGACAUUGUUAGCGUGUUAAUUCCAUGGGGUUCGACAUUUUUUUUUUCCCUAGAGGAGCCUGAAUCCUGUCAUUGCUACGUCUCUCUUCUUGGGAAGGUUUGCGUACGUUGGCGAACUCCAUAACCAGCUCUCCCUGUGCUCACCGAGAGAACGAAAAACAUGGUGCAUAUCUAGGAAAAGCUCAGUGUUCAUCUGUUUCAGUCGGUUAAGUGACUGAGGUGCUCAAUUCAUUGCGGAAGCCUGGACCGUGUUAACAAGGUGCUCUCCUCAAGCUCACCCCUCGCCCACAAAGAAAGGCACCCACUUCCCUAACGUGGCACCGCAGGACAUGCUUGAGACUGAGUAAGAGGGAAGGUACUAAGCACUGUGAGUACGUGUCUCCGUGUACAGGGUACUUCACUUCAGCAGCAGCUGGACACUUGCCACAAGACCAUACAAGGCAUCAGGGAUCCUCAGAGUUGGAUCGAGAGAAUGCCAGGAUUUGGUUGGUGCCAGAGGCAAGUCUUCGUCCCCUGUGUUGUGUGUUUCUGGGACGUGAUCUGCCAAGACUGAUGUGGACCAAUGCUUAACCCAGGGAUGGGGGGACCAGUUUCUAUAAUUAGAAACUAUCUUCUG